rnacentral:rRNA from 1 species
UACGUAGGGUGCAAGCGUUGUCCGGAAUUAUUGGGCGUAAAGAGCUCGUAGGCGGUUUGUCGCGUCUGCUGUGAAAACGCGGGGCUCAACCUCGCGCCUGCAGUGGGUACGGGCAGACUAGAGUGCGGUAGGGGAGAUUGGAAUUCCUGGUGUAGCGGUGGAAUGCGCAGAUAUCAGGAGGAACACCGAUGGAGCGAAGGCAG